UACGGAGGGUGCAAGCGUUAUCCGGAUUCACUGGGUUUAAAGGGUGCGUAGGUGGGUUGAUAAGUCAGUGGUGAAAUCCCCGAGCUUAACUUGGGAACUGCCAUUGAUACUAUUAGUCUUGAAUACCGUGGAGGUCGGCGGAAUAUGUCAUGUAGCGGUGAAAUGCUUAGAUAUGACACAGAACACCGAUUGCGAAGGCAGCUCACUAAACUGUAACUGACACUGAGGCACGAAAGCGUGGGGAUCAAACAGG
rnacentral:rRNA from 1 species